GACGAACGCUGGCGGCGUGCUUAACACAUGCAAGUCGAACGGAAAGGCCCUGCUUUUGUGGGGUGCUCGAGUGGCGAACGGGUGAGUAACACGUGAGUAACCUGCCCUUGACUUUGGGAUAACUUCAGGAAACUGGGGCUAAUACCGGAUAGGAGCUCCUGCUGCAGGGUGGGGGUUGGAAAGUUUCGGCGGUUGGGGAUGGACUCGCGGCUUAUCAGCUUGUUGGUGGGGUAGUGGCUUACCAAGGCUUUGACGGGUAGCCGGCCUGAGAGGGUGACCGGCCACAUUGGGCCUGAGAUACGGCACAGACUCGUACGGGAGGCAGCAGUGGGGAAUAUUGCACAAUGGGAGGAAGCCUGAUGCAGCAAAGCCGCGUGCGGGAUGACGGCCUUCGGGUUGUAAACCGCUUUCGCCUGUGACGAAGCGUGAGUGACGGUACUGGGUAAAGAAGCACCGGCUAACUCCGUG
rnacentral:rRNA from 1 species